rnacentral:rRNA from 1 species
UGAGUAAAGUGGCGUACGGGUGAGUAACACGUGGGUAAUCUACCUUUUAGUGAGGAAUAACGAUGGGAAACCGUCGCUAAUACCGCAUAAGCCGAGAGGGAAAGUCGAAAGACGCUGAAAGAGGAGCCCGCGGCCGAUUAGCUAGUUGGUGAGGUAAGAGCCCACCAAGGCAGAGAUCGGUAGCCGGCCUGAGAGGGCACACGGCCACACUGGCACUGAAACACGGGCCAG